rnacentral:tRNA from 1 species
GACUCCGUAGCUCAGUGGAUAGAGCAUCCGCCUUCUAAGCGGAUGGUCGGGCGUUCGAAUCGCCCCGGGGUCGCCA